CUCACUCUCCAACUCACUCAAGGUGCGUUCCAUUCGACCGUAAGUCGACCAUCGACCAUCAAGAGGUAUUUAUUUGUACACAUGCAUUUACCAAUUGAAAAGUUCUUUGUAUUAUAAUGGUCUUUUUUCACAGACUGUGAUGAUGCAUUUCCACAGUUAUGUUUUGUCAUUCACAUUUUUGUGUUGAAAUAGAUUAGCCUAUCCCCUGUAUGUCAUUGAUGCACUACUUCAAAGAUGUGAGAAAAAGAACAUACACCUGCGAGUAGUCUGUUACAUUGCCUGUGUUGUUGCCUCACAUUUGCAGAAAUCAGGGGAGGGCAUAUCACACAACAUUGCCUUGGCCGUACCAGCAUUUCAUGUUUAUGGACACAAAUUGCCCCGCCAGAUCAAGUACAGUACCAGAUGGCUUGAUGGGUUUGGGCUCACAGACGGGGAAGGAAUGAAAAGGCUGUGGUCUUUCCUCCAAAGAUUUGCCAGAGUCACAAAGGAGAUGACUCCAUCUCAUCGCCUUGACCUACUGACUGAUGUCCGCCUUGACGGAGGAAAUCAACUGACCUAGAGGUGCAGCUCCUGCAAAGAGUAGACAAAGCAGAGAAAAUAUUGCUCAAGAAGAUAUCUCAUCAGAGAGGCACCAGGUAAACAAUGCACAUAAGAAGCAGUGUUGAUUUCUGAAGGAGACAUGGAGAGAUGGAAAAAAGCUAGCCCAACAGAAACCAAUAAACACUGUCUGUAGAUGGAAAAGGGACUACAUCAUCAGACUGAUUCAGUUCUACAAGUUCAAAAUUGAGGACUCUGCUGAACAUUGAGGAAAAAUACCGUAUUGGGAGAAGAUGGCAAGAGUCUGAUUCAAACUUCCAGUCUACCCUUAAAGAUGUGGACCGUGAGCUCAGAGUCCAACUGUAAGGCUAGAACUGAAUCAAGGGAGAGAGCAGUCGUCCUCCACCUGAGAAGAAUAUAUCCAGCUUUGCUUCAGAUGGGCAGGCCAUUGCCAUUAGACUCUCCAAGCAGGUAGCCAAUUGAUUUUCAGGAAUCAUGUGAUCCCUCUUGGCAUGUCUACUUCUGCUUUAAUGACACUAUUGAAGAAGAUGAUGUUUCGAGGAGUCUAAAAAGGCGAGGGAUUGAUGCCUUACAUAUGAAGACUCGGGCAGCUGAGGAAAAGUGGCCAAGUGGUCUAAGGGGCCAGUCACACCAAAAGCGUUUAUGGCAGUUGCAGGCGCCUUUUUUGAAUGAUAUUCUAUAGGCAGGGCGCGUUUACGCGCUGUUUAUGUGCGCCGAGCGCCUCGCGUUUUUUU